rnacentral:rRNA from 1 species
AUUGAACGCUGGCGGCAUGCCUUACACAUGCAAGUCGAACGGCAGCACGGGAGCAAUCCUGGUGGCGAGUGGCGAACGGGUGAGUAAUAUAUCGGAACGUGCCCAGUCGUGGGGGAUAACGCAGCGAAAGCUGUGCUAAUACCGCAUACGAUCUACGGAUGAAAGCAGGGGAUCGCAAGACCUUGUGCUAUACGAGCGGCCGAUGUCGGAUUAGCUAGUUGGUGAGGUAAAGGCUCACCAAGGCGACGAUCCGUAGCGGGUCUGAGAGGAUGAUCCGCCACACUGGGACUGAGACACGGCCCAGACUCCUACGGGAGGCAGCAGUGGGGAAUUUUGGACAAUGGGGGGAACCCUGAUCCAGCAACGCCGCGUGAAUGAAGAAGGCCUUAGGGUUGUAAAGUUCUUUUGUCUGGAGCAAAGGUUGUAUGUUAAUAGUAUACAAAGAUGAGAGUACCAGAAGAAUAAGCACCGGCUAA